GAUGAACGCUAGCGGGAGGCCUAACACAUGCCAGUCGAGCGGUAGAGUUCCUUCGGGAACUUGAGAGCGGCGUACGGGUGCGUAACACGUGUGCAACCUACCUUUAUCUGGGGGAUAGCCUUUCGAAAGGAAGAUUAAUACCCCAUAAUAUAAUGAUUGGCAUCAAUUAUUAUUGAAAACUCCGGUGGAUAGAGAUGGGCACGCGCAAGAUUAGAUAGUUGGUGAGGUAACGGCUCACCAAGUCAAUGAUCUUUAGGGGUCCUGAGAGGGAGAUCCCCCACACUGGUACUGAGACACGGACCAGACUCCUACGGGAGGCAGCAGUGAGGAAUAUUGGACAAUGGGUGAAAGCCUGAUCCAGCCAUCCCGCGUGAAGGAUGACGGUCCUAUGGAUUGUAAACUUCUUUUGUACAGGGAUAAACCUACUCUCGUGAGGGUAGCUGAAGGUACUGUACGAAUAAGCACCGGCUAACUCCGUG
rnacentral:rRNA from 1 species